GAGAGGGUGUGUCUGUUUUGGGCGCCAAGCCAAGUCAGGAGGAAGAAAUGUCUACCAUCUCUCUGCCUUCCUCCUCACCUUUCACAACUGUUUGCUUCUAUUUUUAACUAAAACUAAUUCUAGUAACUAUAAGCUUGACCUGAAGAAGACAAGAGGAACAGUGAUGAUGUUGUCAAGAAACCAUGGCAACCCUCCACGUCCAGACCCAGUCACCUGUUCCUGCUCUCUGAUUGGUGUUGGUUGCUGUCAAUCUAAUUCAACCUGCUCUCAGAACAGUGGACAUGAGAGGAUUCAAGACUUUAAGUCAGUAUAUAGAAGCAAUCCGGUGCUCCAUCAGCAACAUGACGGCACUACAGGAGGAGGAGGAGCGAAGGAGUUAUGAAAGAGUGGUGAGAUGGAUAGAGAGGUCACAGAUGGAGAGAUAAGAGAAGGAAAAUGAGAUGAAGAAGGAAAGAGAAUGUGUGCAUAUGGAGGAAAAAAGAAGAGAGGGAGAAGGAAGGAAUAGAGGAGAAAACAAAACACAGAGAGAGGUGAACUAAAAGUUAUGCUGUACUCAGUUUCUAAGUAGGACAUGCAUUCCCACAUGUCCUACUUAAAAAUAACAACAUGAGAGAGACAGAGACAAGUAUUUAAAGAUGAUGUGAAAUUCAAUCUGAUAAUGAUUCAUAAACAUCAUUUGGUGUUUUAUACAAUGUUACAGAGUAAAGCAAAAAAAUAAAUUUAAACAGAAAUACUGUGUUUGUGUGUGUCGCCCCCUAUCAGACUCUUGCUAUUAAUUAAUAUGACUGAAGUGUAGACACUGGGAAGGAGAGGAAGCAAAAAGAGAAGGAAAAGAAAGGAAAAUGGAUAGAAAAAGGUCCACAGACAGCAUCGGUCGACAGAGGCGUUGUCGACGGUGGAAAUCCCAUCCUGCUGUCUGACGACUGCCUGCCAGGAAAGAUUCAGCUGCUCCGUCGCUUUUCCCUCCUCAGAGCUCAACCAGAGGAUGGAUUUAUGAAUAAAUAAAAGGAUGAGAGAAAGGGAAAGAGAGAGGGCAGAUGGAGAUACUGUCUCUCUCCUCUUUUUGCUCCUUUUUUAUGAUUUCCUCUUCAUUUGUUCUCUAUCAAUGUUCUGUAAUUUCUUCUUGCCUUCUUCUUUUUCUGAUUCCUCCGAGUCCCUCUUCAUCUCCUCCUCUUCCUCAAACCUUCACCUCCAUAUGUUUGUCUUCUCUUCCUCUUUUUUUAACCUUUUUUCUCUUCCUUUCUUGUUCUCUUUCUAGUUCUUCUCUUUAUCCAUCUUCUUGUCCUUACUGCUUUUUCUUCUUUUCCUCCCUCCUUUAUUUUCAGACCUCCUCUUCUAUCUUCCUGUCAAACGUCCUGUUGUUCUCUCCUCCUAAUAAUUAUUUUUAUAAACCCUCUUUAGUCUUUUUCAUCCUUGUUUGAUAAUAGGAAUUAUACCAAACAUGCUUACAAAAUCAUUUACAGAGAAAUUUUAAAACAGUAAAAUUUGAAAACCGCCAUUAGCACUGCGUGAAAAAACACAGUGUUCUCAUUCAUUUCAAUGAGACCGCUGCACUGGCAUCUGGUUGUGACAACAACAACAGAACACAGAGUGGUGCAGUGUUUGAAUAUUUGAUAAGAAAUUAAUGGAUUUAAAAGCACUGACUUUUUGGAUGACUGAAGCUUCAUAUUAGCUUUAGAUAAACUUUUAAAUACAUUUUGCACAGGAGGACUGUGGAUUUUG